CCUACGGGUGGCAGCAGUGAGGAAUAUUGGUCAAUGGGCGAGAGCCUGAACCAGCCAAGUCGCGUGAGGGAGUAAUGCCCUAUGGGUUGUAAACCUCUUUUGUCGGGGAGCAAAAGCCGGACGUGUCCGGCGGUGCGAGUACCCGAAGAAAAAGCAUCGGCCAACUCCGUGCCAGCAGCCGCGGGAAUACGGAGGAUGCGGGCGUUAUCCGUUUUUGUUGGUUUUAAAGGGUGCGCAUGCGGAUUUUUAAGUCAGUGGUCAAAUCGUGGGGCUCAACCCCAUCCAGCCGUUGAAACUGGGGAUCUAGAGUGUGCGAGAGGUAUGCGGAAUGCGUGGUGUAGCGGUGAAAUGCAUAGAUAUCACGCAGAACCCCGAUUGCGAAGGCAGCAUACCGGUGCACAACUGACGCUCAGGCACGAAAGCGUGGGUAUCGAACAGGAUUAGAUACCCCUGUAGUC
rnacentral:rRNA from 1 species